rnacentral:rRNA from 1 species
GUGGGAAGAAGUUCGGAAAUCAUGGCCGCGAUGGGUGGGGACCAAAGGCACAUGAUGGAGGGUGCGGCGGAGGACAAGAUCCCGGAGGGGUUACGAGUCCUCGCCGUGGACGACGACUGCAUCUGCCUCAAGGUGCUAGAGAACCUCUUGCGCGGCUGCAAAUACCACCCAACGACUGUGCCGGAUGCCAAGACGGCGCUGAAGAUUCUCAGGGCGGGGAAGGAGGUGUUCGACCUGGUCAUCACCGACGUUCGCAUGCAGGACAUGGACGGCUUCAAGCUCCUCGAGCGCAUCCGCCUCGAGAUGGAUCUGCCCGUCAUCAUGCUAUCUGCAGAUUGCGACAAGAAGGCUGUGAUGAAGGGGAUAAGUCAUGGGGCGUGUGACUAUUUGGUGAAGCCAGGGCAUACCAACGAGCUAAAAAACAUAUGGCAGCAUGUUGAAAGCAAGAGAAGCUCCGAAGCAAUAAGGCACAUCAGCGGUGAUGAUGAUGACGAUCAGAGAGCACAGCUUGGGACUGCUGCCAAGAGCAAUGAUGUAGCUAAUACUGAUGAGAACAAAGAGAGCACACAGACAUCCACUACCCAGAAGAAGCCAAGAAUGGGAUGGACAAUUGAGCUGCAUACAAAGUUUAUGGAA